rnacentral:rRNA from 1 species
UACGAAGGGGGCUAGCGUUGCUCGGAAUCACUGGGCGUAAAGCGCACGUAGGCGGAUCUUUAAGUCAGGGGUGAAAUCCCGGAGCUCAACUCCGGAACUGCCUUUGAUACUGGGGAUCUUGAGUUCGAGAGAGGUGAGUGGAACUGCGAGUGUAGAGGUGAAAUUCGUAGAUAUUCGCAAGAACACCAGUGGCGAAGGCGGCUCACUGGUCCAUUACUGACGCUGAGGUGCGAAAGCGUGGGGAGCAAACAGG